CCUACGGGCGACAGCAGUGGGGAAUAUUGCACAAUGGGGGAAACCCUGAUGCAGCGACGCCGCGUGAGUGAAGCAGUAUUUCGGUAUGUAAAGCUCUAUCAGCAGGGAAGAAAAUGACGGUACCUGAUUACGAAUCCCCGGCUAACUACGUACCACCAGCCGAGGUAAUACGUAGGGGGCAAGCGUCAUCCGGAUUUACUGUGUGUAAAGGGAGCGUAGACGGCAGCACAAGUCUGGAGUGAAAUGCCGGGGCUUAACCCCGGAACUGCUUUUGAAACUGUGCAGCUAGAGUGCAGGAGAGGUAAGUGGAAUGCCUAGUGGAGCGGUGAAAUGCGUAGAUAUUAGGAGGAACACCAGUGGCGAAGGCGGCUUACUGGACUGUAACUGACGUUGAGGCUCGAAAGCGUGGGGAGCAAACAGGAUUAGAUACCCCUGUAGUC
rnacentral:rRNA from 1 species